rnacentral:rRNA from 1 species
CACCGCCCGUCACAUGCAAGUCGAACGGGUCGCAAGGCCAGUGGCAAACGGGUGCGUAACGCGUAAGCAACCUGCCUCAUACUGGGGGAUAGCCCGGCGAAAGCUGGGGUAAACCCGCACGGUCCCACGGAGUCACCUGGCUUUAUGGGUAAACAUUUAUGGGUAUGAGAGGGGCUUGCGUUUGAUUAGCUAGUUGGCAGGGUAACGGCCUACCAAGACGAUUAUCAGUAGGGGUUCUGAGAGGAUUGGCCCCCACAAUGGGUACUGUUGAUACUGGACCCAACUCCUACUGGAGGCAGCAGUAGGGAAUAUUGGGCAAUGGAGGCAACUCUUGACCCAGCCAUACCGCGUGCAGGAUGAAAGGCGCUCAGCGUUGUAAACUGCUUUUAUUGGUAAAGAACAGCAGUGGUGCGCCAUUGUGUGACGGUAGCCAAAGAAUAAGCACCGGCUAACUCCGUGCCAGCAGCCGCGGUAAUACGGAGGGUGCAAGCGUUGUCCGGAUUUAUUGGGUUUAAAGGGUGCGUAGGUGGUUGUUUAAGUCUGAUUUGAAAGCAGGCGGCUUAACCGUCUGAUGUGGUUGGAAACUGAACCACUUGAAUGGGUUGGCGGUAGCCGGAAUGGGUCAUGUAGCGGUGAAAUGCAUAGAUAUGACCCGGAACACCGAUUGCGAAGGCAGGCUACUACGACUUGAUUGACACUGAGGCACGAGAGC